UAAAACGGAAGCGUAUCUUUCCGAUCGAAAAUUCCACUUUUACUCACUUGUGUGGGAUAGUGCCGACUUCAACUCCGCUUACCGCACCCCACACAUCCGCUACACGUUAUCAUUAAGCAUGCCCCCACUGUUCAUAAUGGGGGCUAUACACAUGCAGGCAAGUCCGCGCGCAAGUGUGUCCAGGUAAGUCCGCGAGCAAGUGCGAAACGAAUUGCGGCCACACACUAUUCAGGUAAACCUCGAGAGUUGGUGGGGCCUGCUGCUGUAAGAUAAUGAAAUUGGCCUUCGUACUUGCUCUAAAAAUCAGACACAAUCUGAUUCGCUUCGGGCCGCGCUUGAAACUGAACGCGCCUUGAGUUUUGACGCAUACACAUUCGCACUUACUCGCGUGUCUCGACCUGUAGAGGCAAGUCCUAACACUUGCCCGUUUGUGUAUAGGUCGCUUAAGACCGGCUCCUUGUCAACAUUUAAUUAAGGUUAUAAUUUUGGUUAGUUUUGGUUAGUCAUCACUAUAAAAGGAGGGUGGCGCGCUAGACCACCGGUACAAACCAGUCAAACCACUAACUAUUAGUGUAUCGGGUAGCGAAAUCCGUUGCAGGUUAGUUUUGUGCCAUAUACUAGAUAAAAAGCCUAAAUAGUUUAUUACAGCGUAUUUAUGGUAAUUAAUAUGAAAUAUUUUGCAAAGUUGGGUUAAUUGUUAAGCCGGAUAAUGCAACACAAAAACAGCCUUUUUAUCCCCAUUUUCGCAAAAAUAUCAAUUAGGCAUCAUGGUGGGGUAUAGGUUUAGUAAUAUUAUACGAUGUCAGUAAAAUACAUAUAGCUAUUAGAUAAUAUAGUGGCCCUACUACGGUAAAAAGUAGAGGUGUGGAUCUUAUGCGCAUGCGUCAUCCGCCAACUGACUGAGUUGCCACAUUACCAUAAUUUUUCUGAAAAAAUUGACUAAUUUUUAUAAGAACGCAAAAUCAGUCUCUGAAAUGCGAAUAUAAUUGCUAUUGCCAGAGAAUACUAACAGUAACAUUGUUGUUUACAUUUUUGGUGGUUAUGGUUGUCUUUGUCCCUUUUUCGUGUUUUUGUGAAAAAUUUGUUUGUGGUCAAAACUCUAAGGAAAAGAAUAUGCCUAUAUACGGGUAAGUCUUGCAUUAUGUACAAGUUAAUUUAAAAGAUUUAAAAGGGGUUUUUAUAAGACUCCCUCUCACAAACUUGUAUAAUUGGUGCUUUCCAUAUUUACUCCUUCACGAAAUUACAACAAUUGUGGCAAAUAUCAGGUUUCAGUUAAGUUAGAUUUCAGACAAACCCGAGUGAUUUUGCAAACUGCAAGGUACAAUUAGAUAGCUACUUAGGAAAGAUGUUUGGAUAAUAUGUUUUAGUGUACAAGAAUUACAGGAAAUGUAAGAAAACAAUUAAGCUGCAAGUUUUACUAGAACAAUAAUAAGAAAUACUCCUUAAUAAUUACAAAUCCUUGUAAACCUCAAUAAAAACGAAAUUGCCUUUUGGUUGGUUAAAAAUUACAUAAAUUGUUACCGCAGAAAGUGGGGAAUUACCAGAAUCAAUUCAGCUGCAACAGGAAGAACUUAAACGAUAAAUCUGCAGGAUAUUACUACUAUAUUAAUUAUCAGGAAUUCUAGGCAACUAUUCAAAAUUUUGGGAUACUUCAUUUGUAGGCCAACUACCUCCUGAGAAAGACAACUCGAGUUGGAAAAAUGUUAUAUGCACAACUUGGGAGGACAAGAUAUUGAUUACUCUCCGACUAUUUUCCCAACCCUUGCUUAGCUCGAGAGUAGGCUAUGUCCUUGACUCAUGAAAUUGUAAGGAAACAAUGGAUAACCUUGCUUGUCAAAAAUAAAGCUGCCAGGGAGACUGAUAGCUUUAGAAGAUCAUGCAUAUUUGGGGUCACAUCACUCCUUUAAGCUAUAGAAGAGGUGGUAAAGUCUUGACAAAAUAUGCAGUGCAGUGUCUUUUGGAUAGAUAUUGUAAUCAGUUGUAAAUCGGGUUACUUGUUUUCUGACCAGACUUAUAAAAUUGAUCAACUAAUUUCACUUUCCUCAAAAAUAUUAU